rnacentral:rRNA from 1 species
UACGAAGGGGGCUAGCGUUGUUCGGAAUCACUGGGCGUAAAGGGCGCGUAGGCGGCUUGUAAGUCGGGGGGUGAAAGCCUGUGGCUCAACCACAGAAUUGCCUUCGAUACUGCAUGGCUUGAGACCGGAAGAGGUAAGUGGAACUGCGAGUGUAGAGGUGAAAUUCGUAGAUAUUCGCAAGAACACCAGUGGCGAAGGCGGCGAUCUGGGAACAUACUGACGCUGAGGUGCGAAAGCGUGGGGAGCAAACAGG